GAUGAACGCUGGCGGCGUGCCUAACACAUGCAAGUCGAGCGAUUCUCUUCGGAGAAGAGCGGCGGACGGGUGAGUAACGCGUGGGUAACCUGCCCUGUACACACGGAUAACAUACCGAAAGGUAUGCUAAUACGAGAUAAUAUGCUUUUAUCGCAUGGUAGAAGUAUCAAAGCUUUUGUGGUACAGGAUGGACCCGCGUCUGAUUAGCUAGUUGGUAAGGUAACGGCUUACCAAGGCGACGAUCAGUAGCCGACCUGAGAGGGUGACCGGCCACAUUGGAACUGAGACACGGUCCAAACUCCUACGGGAGGCAGCAGUGGGGAAUAUUGCACAAUGGGCGAAAGCCUGAUGCAGCAACGCCGCGUGAGCGAUGAAGGCCUUCGGGUCGUAAAGCUCUGUCCUCAAGGAAGAUAAUGACGGUACUUGAGGAGGAAGCCCCGGCUAACUACGUGCCAGCCGCCGCAGUAACAC
rnacentral:rRNA from 1 species